GAUGAACGCUGGCGGCGUGCCUAAUACAUGCAAGUCGAGCGAACGGACGAGAAGCUUGCUUCUCUGAUGUUAGCGGCGGACGGGUGAGUAACACGUGGAUAACCUACCUAUAAGACUGGGAUAACUUCGGGAAACCGGAGCUAAUACCGGAUAAUAUUUUGAACCGCAUGGUUCAAAAGUGAAAGACGGUCUUGCUGUCACUUAUAGAUGGAUCCGCGCUGCAUUAGCUAGUUGGUAAGGUAACGGCUUACCAAGGCAACGAUGCAUAGCCGACCUGAGAGGGUGAUCGGCCACACUGGAACUGAGACACGGUCCAGACUCCUACGGGAGGCAGCAGUAGGAAUCUUCCGCAAUGGGCGAAAGCCUGACGGAGCAACGCCGCGUGAGUGAUGAAGGUCUUCGGAUCGUAAAACUCUGUUAUUAGGGAAGAACAUAUGUGUAAGUAACUGUGCACAUCUUGACGGUACCUAAUCAGAAAGCCACGGCUAACUACGUG
rnacentral:rRNA from 1 species